GUGCUGCUUUUUAAUUCAUUACAUACAGUCUUUAUAGUUUACUUAUUGCACAUCCAAGUUAGUUAAAAAAAACAAUAGUGCAAUUGACUAGACACACAUUACACACAGAAGGUACCAUGCGGUGUACAAACAAGCUUUAAACAAAGCGAGCUUCAGGUUGGACUCUGUCUUCCUUUUCAUAGUGAAGGGAUCUCGGAGACCGUGAGCGUAGCUGCCUGCAGCUGCAGUAUAAAAAGCGACGGCUUGACUGGACAGUGACCGCCUGCAUAUCGUAUGGGCAGGGCUGGCUGUGCCAUGGUGGGUCCUUCCUCCUGAGGAAGACCUCCAAGUCUGGCUGCCAGAUAUAGGGGCAUGCGGGUUAGGGAAAAUGAAAUCCCACCACAGCCGGGGUUUCUAAUAGACUAGUGUAUUACAACAUAACUAAAACUUCUAUUGGUCUAAAUGACAUUGGGGUGUAACAUUUGGUAUUCUCUGGGAAAAAAGCUUACAGCAGAACUUAUCUUUGGUCAAUGCUCAAACACCACUUUUUGGUUACUUUAAUGAACUUGGACAAAGUCUACCAGCCAAGUAGUGAACACAGAAAGGCAAUGUGCUGUGGUUUUGUGGCAAUAAAGUAGCUUAGGACUUUAUUCAACCUGUGUUGCUGAUUGCGCGAUAGAAAGGUAAUUUCCAAUUGAGUAGACUUAUACAGCGCUUACCGUGAAUGCUGUCUCCACCAAUGCGGGAACAUUGCCUUUACAUUUCAAUCACGCUGUAACGCUGAACUUCCACGAUACGGAUUGAAUAGAGCCCUUAAGCUAUAUAGGAUCACAUGGCUGAUCAGUACAGUGACCUAAUGGAUCUAGACGAGACAUUAAUGGGAUCAUUUCAAAGCCAUACUAAAAACAACUCAAAAACAGCUAGGUCCUCAUUUAAGACAUACAAAAUGGAUUAAAUAAAAAAAAAAAAUGUGUCACAAAGUGUGUACAUAAAUAAUACUAAACGCAUCAAUAGUCAGGACAGCAUUGGUUCUGUAUGUAGGCACAGCAGAGAAAAGACAGGGGUCUGCAGUGUGGUUGUGAUGGUCCAUGUUACUGGCUGGGGGUUAGGUGAGUACAUCAAUUGUUCAGAGUGCGAACUUAAAACAGCUAUCUAAUUUCCAUCCACACCGAAUAUGUUCCCCACUGAAACAGAGACUGGGAAAUAACAGUUCCACCCUUAAAUUGGAGGUAUAAGCCUAGAUAUAAGAUCAAUAUUGGAUCAAUUAACUAUUAAAAAUGAGCAGACAAGACAUUUCAAAGGCUCCUAUCAAGUGUUAGCCGUAGUUUCAUAAUGGGGUGAUGGCUCGGGCAAGCAGCAAGUUGACAAAGGGGGAGAAAUCAGAGUGUUUGGUAGAAACAACAGACAAAUCAUAGCCCGAGAUCCUGUAGUUUCUGUUACACAGCAUUGGGCUGGAUCCUUUACAACAUCUCGUCCAAUCAAAGUGUCCCAUCCAGUAGUCUCUCCCACCCAGCUGACAGUACCAGCUGGAGCUGUUCUGUCCAUGACAGCCAGAGUGACUUACUGAGCUCCAUCAUCUGGUUCCAGUUCACACGGCUUGCUACAUCAACAGUUCUAGGUAAUGCAAGCCUGGCUGGGGUCUUUAUGAAAACGGACUCUUUCAGAGUGUGUGUGAGAGAGAGAGAGAGAGAGGAGGUGAAAGUGUGGGUGUGAGUCAGUCAGUCUGAUUCCACCCCCCCCCCCCCUUUCUAUUGCAUGAGGGAUAUUCUAGGAAAGGCAGAGCACGACAUGUAGAACAACAUAGCAGAGGCACGUUCACAGCGCUCCCUCAAGCAGUUUGUCCUCUGCUCCGUGUCUCUAGGGGAGCAGGGGAACUGCUUGGGGAACUGUAAAUGAACUCGUGUGUCUAGGCAACAGUGUGUCUCCCUGAAGUAUGGCUCUGUGAGUUCUAGGAGAUGAGCCACAGCUUUCACGUUGUCGGGGUGCUGGUUCUCCCAUGUGAGAACAGAGGUUGUGUGGCAGGAUGGGGGAGGUGGCGACGCCUCAUCAGCACCCACAUUGGUUUCUGUGGGUUUCUAGCCUCACUUACAAAACAGGCUCCUCCCCUUCUCGCUCCUUCAGUUGGAAAGCCCAGCAGGGUUUAUAUUCACGGAUGAGGAGUAAAAACAGCCCUCUCUUUGUUUUGGCUGCGGUGCUGUUCCCAGUGGAGGAGGUGGAGGAGGCAGGCGCAGGGUCCGCUAGGCUGGGGCUGGGCUCCGAGGAGGAGGCUGCAUGUGAGCUGAGGACAGGGGGAAGGGGCGCUCUUCACACGGGGUGCGAGGGCAGCUCCAGCAGGGUGGGGGUGGGUGUCGGGGGGAGGUGGAAGCCCACCUCGAUGGCAGUGCCCUCUGUGAUGCUCACCACGUCGUCGCCCCUCCCACGCUGGCAACGGAUGGCACUGAAAUAGGCAUUCAUCAGCUGCAUGAUCUCAGUCAGCUGUGACGGAGAGAGAGCGAGAGAACAGAGGGAAGGGGGAAGGGGAGAGAGAGACAGAAGGAGAGAGAGAACAGAACGAGAGAGAAAGAGAACAGAGAGAGAGAGAACAGAGUCAGCCUGGUGGCAGUGUGAGAAGUGUCUUUCUCAAUGUCUGUGUCUGGCACCAUCACAGGGGCGAGGGGAGGGAGGGCAGAGAUGAUGUCAUCCAGCUGCUGCUGGAACAGAAACAAUCCUCCAGGGAUGGUCAGAGCGUGAUGUGCCUUGGCACAUUCUGCAGCAGCACCAGCACUCACACCACUGGACUGAACUUCAGUAAGACACAACCCUAAAAACAACAAAAGCAGAUGGGUAUUGCAUUUCAACAUACUAUGUCUGUGUUUCAGCUGGG
rnacentral:lncRNA from 1 species